CAUCUGGAAAGAUGAAUCAAAGAAGGUAAUAAUCCUGUAGUCGAAAAUGUUGUCUCUCUUGAGUGGAUCCUGAGUACGACGGAGCACGUGAAAUUCCGUCGGAAUCUGGGAGGACCAUCUCCUAAGGCUAAAUACUCUCUAGUGACCGAUAGUGAACCAGUACCGUGAGGGAAAGGUGAAAAGCACCCCGGAAGGGGAGUGAAAUAGAACCUGAAACCGUGUGCUUACAAGUAGUCAGAGCCCGUUAAUGGGUGAUGGCGUGCCUUUUGUAGAAUGAACCGGCGAGUUACGAUUUGAUGCAAGGUUAAGCAGUAAAUGUGGAGCCGUAGCGAAAGCGAGUCUGAAUAGGGCGUUUAGUAUUUGGUCGUAGACCCGAAACCAGGUGAUCUACCCUUGGUCAGGUUGAAGUUCAGGUAACACUGAAUGGAGGACCGAACCGACUUACGUUGAAAAGUGAGCGGAUGAACUGAGGGUAGCGGAGAAAUUCCAAUCGAACCUGGAGAUAGCUGGUUCUCUCCGAAAUAGCUUUAGGGCUAGCCUCAAGUGAUGAUUAUUGGAGGUAGAGCACUGUUUGGACGAGGGGCCCCUCUCGGGUUACCGAAUUCAGACAAACUCCGAAUGCCAAUUAAUUUAACUUGGGAGUCAGAACAUGGGUGAUAAGGUCCGUGUUCGAAAGGGAAACAGCCCAGACCACCAGCUAAGGUCCCAAAAUAUAUGUUAAGUGGAAAAGGAUGUGGCGUUGCCCAGACAACUAGGAUGUUGGCUUAGAAGCAGCCAUCAUUUAAAGAGUGCGUAAUAGCUCACUAGUCGAGUGACACUGCGCCGAAAAUGUACCGGGGCUAAACAUAUUACCGAAGCUGUGGAUUGUCCUUUGGACAAUGGUAGGAGAGCGUUCUAAGGGCGUUGAAGCAUGAUCGUAAGGACAUGUGGAGCGCUUAGAAGUGAGAAUGCCGGUGUGAGUAGCGAAAGACGGGUGAGAAUCCCGUCCACCGAUUGACUAAGGUUUCCAGAGGAAGGCUCGUCCGCUCUGGGUUAGUCGGGUCCUAAGCUGAGGCCGACAGGCGUAGGCGAUGGAUAACAGGUUGAUAUUCCUGUACCACCUAUAAUCGUUUUA
rnacentral:rRNA from 1 species